rnacentral:rRNA from 1 species
GCUGCAUGGUUGUCGUCAGCUCGUGCCGCGAGGUGUCGGGGUUAAGUCCCAUAACGAGCGCAACCCCUAUUGUUAGUUUGCCAUCAGGUCAUGCUGGGGACUCUACAAAACUGCCCGCGUAAGCGUGGAGGGAAGGUGGGGGAGUGACGUCAAAUCAGCACGGCCCUUACGUCCAGGGCUACACACGUGCUACAAUGGCCGGUACAGAGGGCAGCCACUUGGUGACAAGGAGCAAAUCUCAAAAGCCGGUCUCAGUUCGGAUCGGAGUCUGCAACUCGACUCCGUGAAGUUGGAUUCGCUAGUAAUCGUAGAUCAGCAAUGCUACGGUGAAUACGUUCCCGGGCCUU